UUAUGGCUCAGGAUGAACGCUAGCGACAGGCUUAACACAUGCAAGUCGAGGGGCAGCAUAAAAGUAGCAAUACUUUGGUGGCGACCGGCGCACGGGUGAGUAACGCGUAUGCAACCUACCUAUCAGAGGGGAAUAACCCGGCGAAAGUCGGACUAAUACCGCAUAAAACAGGGGCACCGCAUGGUGAUAUUUGUUAAAGAAAUUCGCUGAUAGAUGGGCAUGCGUUCCAUUAGGUAGUUGGUGAGGUAACGGCUCACCAAGCCGACGAUGGAUAGGGGAACUGAGAGGUUGGUCCCCCACACUGGUACUGAGACACGGACCAGACUCCUACGGGAGGCAGCAGUGAGGAAUAUUGGUCAAUGGGCGGGAGCCUGAACCAGCCAAGUCGCGUGAAGGAAAGAAGGAUCUAUGGUUCGUAAACUUCUUUUGCAGGGGAAUAAAGUGCAGGACGUGUCCUGUUUUGUAUGUACCCUGAGAAUAAGGAUCGGCUAACUCCGUGCCAGCAGCAGC
rnacentral:rRNA from 1 species